CACGUAGGGCGCGAGCGUGUCCGGAAUUAUUGGGCGUAAAGAGCUCGUAGGCGGCCUGUUGCGUCCGCUGUGAAAGCCCGGGGCUUAACCCCGGGUCUGCAGUGGAUACGGGCAGGCUAGAGGUAGGUAGGGGAGAAUGGAAUUCCCGGUGUAGCGGUGAAAUGCGCAGAUAUCAGGAGGAACACCGGUGGCGAAGGCGGUUCUCUGGGCCUUACCUGACGCUGAGGAGCGAAAGCGUGGGGAGCGAACAGG
rnacentral:rRNA from 1 species